AGCAGUAUAAAAUAACUUUGGAAGAACAUGUUGUUAUCAUUUCUGCACAGCUGUAGUUUAAAGGAGAGAAAACUCCUAGCUUUCAAAACUGGCAGUCCAUGAUAUGGUGGAGGAGCCCAUUGAAGAAGGUGCACAUCCUGGUGUGGUCUCUACCCUGACCUCAUGAAAAAUCCUUGCAUUGCAAGUGAAUCCAAGAACUGACAACAGUUUCACUGAGCUGGACUAGAAAGGACCGACUGUGUCACAAUAGCUGCUAUGCACAAGUUUCUUACACUGAAAACUGAAUGACACUUCCAGAAAGAGACACUGCCUUUUUCAAGCAGACUGAUUCACUGUGAAUGAGGAGAGCUUCCCAGCACUGCAGGGCCAAGUAAGAUGUUCUUGAUCUGCAUCACCAUCAGAACAGAGAGGGGAAUUCUGACAGAUAGCUGCUGCACUUUUAUUUUUGAAAGGUAAGAGAUGUUGUGCCUAAAACUAUUUUAUCUCUGUUCACAUCCAUUUCUGUCUCAAUCUUGAAUGUGCUGCCUCAAAGCCCCUGGAUUUUUCAGUUCUGCUGUUGUGAAAAUGCCUUGUGAAGCAAGAUUAAAGCUUCUGGAACCUGCUGUCUUCAGCCUAUAUAAAUUGCAGAGGACACAGCUUUCAAUGUAUUACAGUGUUGGGAUCCAUGUGCUAUGGUGCUGUUCCCUCCAAAGAGUUUAUGACCCCUCCCCUGGACACCAUUUCAACAAAUGGUGUUUAUACCAUGUCUCUUCAAACUCAAGUGCAAUGCUGUGUCUUGUGCAGCCAUUUCAAGGUUCCCUACUACCUUGAUGAGCCCACCUUGAUGAGCUAGUUCCAUCAAAAAGUAUUACAGUGAACUGAAGGACUAUAUCUUUUUCCUUAAUAACCACGGCAGUGGUGGAAAAUGCAAAGGAAGAUCAACAACUUCUAUGGUUGCAAAUGGCCAUGGCAAUUAACAAGCUGGUUGAAAAACUGAACAUGUGGCAACAUGGAAAAAAAUACUAUUUUAACCCAUGCUAAAGAAAAAAAAUGUUUUAGAA